UACGUAGGGUGCGAGCGUUGUCCGGAAUUAUUGGGCGUAAAGGGCUCGUAGGCGGUUUGUCGCGUCGGGAGUGAAAACCAUGGGCUUAACUCAUGGCUUGCUUUCGAUACGGGCAGACUAGAGGUAUGCAGGGGAGAACGGAAUUCCUGGUGUAGCGGUGAAAUGCGCAGAUAUCAGGAAGAACACCCGUGGCGAAGGCAGCCAUCUGGACCGACACUGACGCUGAGGCGCGAAAGCGUGGGGAGCGAACAGG
rnacentral:rRNA from 1 species